AUACGUAGGGGGCGAGCGUUGUCCGGAAUGAUUGGGCGUAAAGGGCGCGUAGGCGGCGCGGUAAGUCUGGAGUGAAAGUCCUGCUUUCAAGGUGGGAAUUGCUUUGGAUACUGCCGCGCUUGAGUGCAGGAGAGGUUAUCGGAAUUCCCGGUGUAGCGGUGAAAUGCGUAGAGAUCGGGAGGAACACCAGUGGCGAAGGCGGGUAACUGGACUGCAACUGACGCUGAGGCGCGAAAGUGUGGGGAGCAAACAGGAUUAGAUACCCUGGUAGUCCACACUGUAAACGAUGAAUGCUAGGUGUAAGAGGUAUCGACCCCUUUUGUGCCGGAGUCAACACAAUAAGCAUUCCGCCUGGGGAGUACGGCCGCAAGGUUGAAACUCAAAUGAAUGGACGGGG
rnacentral:rRNA from 1 species